AUUUAAUUAAUUUAAAAUUUUAUUCUGGUUUCAUAUUUCAGUGAAGUAUUGGAUUACAUGCAAGU
rnacentral:tRNA from 1 species